UACGUAGGGUGCAAGCGUUGUUCGGAAUUACUGGGCGUAAAGGGCUCGUAGGCGGCCAACUAAGUCAGACGUGAAAUCCCUCGGCUUAACCGGGGAACUGCGUCUGAUACUGGAUGGCUUGAGUUUGGGAGAGGGAUGCGGAAUUCCAGGUGUAGCGGUGAAAUGCGUAGAUAUCUGGAGGAACACCGGUGGCGAAGGCGGCAUCCUGGACCAACACUGACGCUGAGGAGCGAAAGCCAGGGGAGCAAACGGG
rnacentral:rRNA from 1 species